GUCAUACCAAUAAUUGUUAUUUCCACCAAUAUAUUCACCCUCAUAAUCUCCAACUGUAAUACUGUGCCCUCACAGCUUUCAGCACACAAUUACCCUCAUUCCAAUCACUGGAAUUCUUCACACAGAACUGCCAUUGACAUUAUGGUGUUUCACACAAACACAAAUUCAUUCCUUCUACUCAACUACAAUUAGAUUUCAGCAUUCAAUCUUUCUUCUUUUCAAAUAAUACCAAUCACAUUUCUAUUCCAUAAUUCACUUCACAAUAUUCAGAAAGUCUCAAUCCUCUUAUUUAAAGAAAAUAACAAACAAAAGAAAAGAGAUAGCACCAAGCUUACCUCAGCUCACACUAUCAUAGCGAUGGCCCUCAGUUCAUGACUAUUACAGUCUAGUACCUUAAUUAACUUCUACAACUCCUAUAUAUUUUUUCUUGAUUCUCUAGAUUCUAAUCGUAAUUCUAUAAUUAACCACUUUUAAGAACUAAAUCACUCAUCUAUCUUCCUGAAUUUCUUAUUAUAUGGACUAUUAAUAUAUUUUAUCAAUAUCUUUCAAAAACGAAUUAAUAUCUAUUUUAUAUAGCCCCACU
rnacentral:lncRNA from 1 species